CCCUUGGAGUGAAAGACCAAACGAAAGUAGCUAACUAGCAAAAUCGAACACUAUGAAAAGGGAA
rfam:Clostridium autoethanogenum DSM 10061, complete genome.